rnacentral:rRNA from 1 species
AGCGAACGCUGGCGGCAGGCUUAACACAUGCAAGUCGAGCGGGCACUUUCGGGUGUCCGCGGCGGACGGGUGCGUAACGCGUGGGAACGUGCCCUCUGGUUCGGAAUAACUCAGGGAAACUUGAGCUAAUACCGGAUACGCCCUUUUGGGGAAAGGCUUGCUGCCGGAGGAUCGGCCCGCGUCUGAUUAGCUAGUUGGUGAGGUAACGGCUCACCAAGGCGCCGAUCAGUAGCUGGUCUGAGAGGAUGAUCAGCCACACUGGGACUGAGACACGGCCCAGACUCCUACGGGAGGCAGCAGUGGGGAAUAGUGGACAAUGGGCGCAAGCCUGAUCCAGCCAUGCCGCGUGAGUGAUGAAGGCCUUAGGGUUGUAAAGCUCCUUUAUCCGGGACGAUAAUGACGGUACCGGAGGAAUAAGCCCCGGCUAACUUCGUG